CAAAAACAUCGCCUCCUGCAAAAAUCAAUGUAUAGGAGGUCCUGCCUGCCCAGUGACAACUUGUUAAACGGCCGCGGUAUUUUGACCGUGCUAAGGUAGCGCAAUCACUUGUCUUUUAAAUGAAGACCUGUAUGAAUGGUGGAACGAGGGCUUAACUGUCUCCCUUCUCCCGUCAAUGAAAUUGAUCUGCCCGUGCAGAAGCGGACAUACAAAUACAAGACGAGAAGACCCUUUGGAGCUUAAGACAAAAGGCCAACCGUGUCAAAGACCCAAAUAAAAUGAAAUUAAACAAAACAGCAACUGGCCAGCGUCUUCGGUUGGGGCGACCGCGGGGGAAAAUGAAGCCCCCACGUGGAAUGGGAUAAUACCCUAAAACCAAGAGAGACAUCUCCAAGCCACAGAACAUCUGACCAAAAGAUCCGGCCCACAAGCCGAUCAACGAACCAAGUUACCCUAGGGAUAACAGCGCAAUCCUUUCCAAGAGUUCAUAUCGACGAGAGGGUUUACGACCUCGAUGUUGGAUCAGGACAUCCUAAUGGUGCAGCCGCUAUUAAGGGUUCGUUUGUUCAACGAUUAAAGUCCUACGUGAUCUGAG
rnacentral:rRNA from 1 species